UCCUUUCCUAGUAACCAAAAAAAAAAAGAAGAAGAAAAAUUGGCAUUUAAUUGCUUGGAAAAAUAACAAUCAUAAAAAGGGAGCUACAUUAUUAUUGCUCUCAUAAUUAAUACAAGAACAAUUGCUACAUUAAUUAAUACCUCUUAUGAAGAAUUACUCUUUACUAAGUACUGAACCAAAAAAGAAAAAAAAAUUAAAAGAGAACCAAACUUAAGACACCUAUAAUAUUCAGAACCACGACUGAGAUCGUCAACAUAAAAUUAUCAUAUUGCCCUUGAAGAGUGUUGGGAGCGGAGGAUGGGGGAGUUUGGUAGUACCAGGGGUACCAGGGCAAUAUCGGGUUGGGCGGCGGCGGCGCGGGGAAUGCGUAGAUGGAGAGGAGGAGGAGAAGGGUGGUGGAGGUGGUCAUGGUGAGGAGAGAGAGAGAGAGAGAGAGAGAGAGAGAGAGAGGGUUUAAUGGAGAGAGGAGGGGGUGGUAGUGCAAUGCAUGAGAGAGAGAGAGAGAGAGAGAGAGAGAGAGAGAGAGGUUUAAUGAAGGGAGGGGGUGCUGGUGCAAUACAUAACAGAGGGGGGAGGAGAGAGAGAGAGAGAGAGAGAGAGAGACGGUCUCAUCCACCGUCCAUCAUAUGGUCUGGACGACUCUCAAAGCAUGAUGGACGAUGAAUGAGUGUCCGCAUAAAAUUUUUGUCGGUGUAAUUGGAGGGGUUGGAGCGUUUUGUUUUUUUUUUUUUUGUUUUUUUGUUAUUUUUUUUUGUGGGGUUAUAAUGCUAUGGAGAGGAAUAACUUGUCUUGACUUUAUUUUGUUUUUAUUUUUCGAUUUUUUAUUUCUUUAUGUGAUUUUUACUUAUAUACCCAUAAUGAUACAUGUAUUUGUGUUUAUAUCCCUUGAAAACCAAAAAAAUUUGCAUAUAUACGCUUAGAAUUAGUCUAUUUUUAUCCAACCUUUUAUUUAUUUAUUUUCUAAAACUGUACUUAGAAUCGGUAUAUAGAGGUAAAAAUAUGUCAAAAAUUUAUUUUCAGAAUUAUAGAAAUAUAUGUCAAAGGGGUAUAUAUACGUGUAAAAAUUUGCAUAACUAAUUAAUAGAUAUUUACAUAAAUAAGAGUGGUAAAUAUUUAAAAAAAGCUUUUUUUUUCUUUACUUUCAAAAUUCGAAGAAUAUUAGACUAACAUAGCAUAACAAUAAUCAGAUAUGAGCCAUGAGAUAACGCUUAAAUUUAUUUUCAAAUUAACUAAAAAUUAAGACGCGUCCUACUAAUAUUUUUUUUUUCAAAAGGGACCCUAGUUAAUAAUAAUGGUGUUACUUGUUAAGUAGUGGUGGGGCCUAAUUUGGUGUGUUCAAAACAGAAUAUUAAAAAAAAAGGUGUGGAAAUUUUUAAAGUAGGGUCCAUAUUUUAGGUUAAAGUUUGGGUGUACGUGGGAUAAUAUUAAUAGUUGCAUGGUUAAGUUAAUCAAAUGUAACGGCUACAUUAAUUGGAGGUGGAGUGUCAAAAGAGAAUUAAUGGUCAUUGAUGAUUGAAUUGUAGAGGGGGUGUCAAAAGAGAUUGGAUAUGUGUGUAAAUUAAUAAAAAGUUAGGGGGGAAAUUAAUAAAAAGUUAAGAAGGGAUGAGGCUUCCCCGUUAAUUUAGGUUGCUUAUAAAGGUUGGAGACUCAAAAAUAGUCUAAGGCAUUAAGUACACUUUUUACACCACUUUUUUUUUAAUGCUUUCACACUAGGAAAAUUAAUUUUAUACAAAUUUCUACUUCUUUAGAAUAAUUUUACAUAAACUUUUUGUUGGCUCGAUAUUUUUUUUUCCCGCUAAAAAAUAGGUCUAUCGACAUACUCAAAUUUGAAAUACGUGUUUUUAUAUAUAGUAUAGAUAUAUAAUAUUUAUAAAUAUAAUAUAUUUUAAUUUUAUAUAAGAUUUAAUUUAAUUUGGGCCAUUAUUGUUGGCCCAUAAAAUAAACCCAACAAGUACAACCGUGCAAUUGAGCCCAACUCUAAAUUUACAUAACACACUAUCUCUUUCAGACUUUUACUAUUACACAUAAUCCUAAAACAUGAUAACAUUCAAAUUUUCAAAUCUCUAAUUUUUUUCCCCUCUCUUUCUCUCUCUCUCUCUCUCUCUCUCUCUCUCUCUCUUUCUCUCCCUCAGACCCUCACCCAGUCAGGCAGUCACCCUAGCUCACAUUUCUUGCAAUUAUUUUGUAUUUGGAACUAUUGGACGUAUUGCAUCAAAUUGUAGAUAAUAUUAUAUAAAAAUUAAACUAUUGAUUAUAUAAUGUCGAGAAUUUCAAUCGGCUCGUUUAGAGCUCGAGCUCGGCUCGACUCGAAAUUAGGCUCGCUUGAGCUCGGCUCGAAUUAAUUUCAAGCCGAGCUUGAGCCUAGAUUUAGGCUCGAAAUUAAUUUCAAGCCGAAUUUGAGCUGAUAUAAGCUCGCUCGAGCUCGGCUCGUUUCCACCCCUAAUUGCACUUCUAGUCCCUAAAGUUUGAAUGAAAGUUUUAUUUUGGUAUUCAAACUUCUGAUUUCGGUAUUCGAAAUCCUGAACUUUGAGUAGUAUAUGUCACUUUAGUCCCUAAACUUUUAAAAGGCAUUUCAUUUUCGGUCCUUAACUCUGAUUAAUAAUUAUUGCUUAUACCUAAUUUAUCUAUUUUCUCACUGAAAAUAAAUUUACUGUUUUUUCAUCCAUCUUUUACUUUUUAAUUCAGUAAUCUAAUUUUUUAUAUUAAGAAAAGUGAAGCUCAAUAGGUAGUAGGAUUGAAAUAUGCGCGAAAAAAAUAGCCAAUAAAUGCAUGAUGAAUAGAUGAAUAGAUGCACUUGGUGCAGCCAAUAAUUUAUCCUUAUUAUUGGCUGAAAUUAAAACUUUUUUUUCGUUGUAGACUUUCCUUUUUUAUUUUUAUUUUUUUUUACUGUUUUAAGAGUUGAAGGGACCACUGAUGCCAAAUUUAAAAAUUUGAGGACCAAAAUGAAACUUGGCUAAAAGUUUGGGACUAGUGAUGCAAUUUAUCUUUAUCAAUUUUGAACAGGAAAGCAAAAAGAGCGAAUCUGGGAGCGGGAGGGGUCCGACCUCUGACUCUGUUUUUUGUUUGGCCGGGUCAGAUUUACGGCGGGCGGGCUAAUUUUAAUUCUAUUUUUGGCCCUCUCUUACCACUCCAUUCAAGAAGACGAGAAUAACUGUUUGGCGAAUUUUUAGCUGAUCGGAAUGAAUUAAAUGAAGAAAGGGUCUAACGGGGGAGAGAUUCAAAACGAGUUAUAUUUUUUUUAUAAUUUUAGUUUUUACUUACAAUCUCAUUUGGAACGGAUCCGAACGGAAGCUCCACUAAUCUGAAUCCAUUUGCAUCCCUAAUUUUAACUAUUGUCUUUUCCUACAAUUUUAGCCUUCCACCUUGACAUGCAGGUUGGGUGUUUGUGGAAUUAAUGAAGCUUCCACCAUUUGUCGGUUGUUAAAUGUUGAAGUCAUAGACUUAUCAUAAGCAUCACCUCAUUUAAAAUGGACUCCCUUUGAUCAUCUCCCCCCAAAAAAAUUAAAAAUAAAAAGAUAAAUAAAAUCACAGGUCACUAAUUUAUGAAGUUUUAUUUGGAUCAUCAAACUUUUAACUUCUAUUUCACUUGGAUCAUCACCACCGAAACUUCGACUAAUUUUUUAACGAGAUAAUGUAUGUUGCCCUUAAAAGUACUCUUUAGACAAUUAUUCUUGACUUAAAUGGGUCAGCAUCUUGUCUUGUGCGGAUUGGAUCGAGUCACGUUUGAAAUAGAGGAAAAUCGGAUUGAGCGGAGUCAUAUUUGAAAUAGUAUGAGACUAAUAAAAUCAAAUCAUAAUAAAGAUCCGCGGACACUGUGGGCGUGUUUGGUUCGAAGUCGGAGUCGGAAUCGGAAUCGGAAUCAAAAUAAGUUGGAAUCGGAAUCGGAAUGACUCAUUAUCUAAUUCUGUUUGGUUCAUCACCUGAAUCGGAAUCGGAAUAAAUCAUUUCCAUUGUCGGUGUUUGGUUCAGGUGAUAUAAAAAACGUAAUCAAAUUAGUAUAUUAACAUUAUCUUUAUAAUAUAUUAAUUUAAAUUCAAAUUAAAUAUUAAAUAUUAAAAAAUUACAUCAAAAUUUUGAAAUAAUGUCAAAAUUUUAAAUGUAUGUUUUUUUAAAAAAAUUAAACUUUGAAGUUGAGUGGAUAAUUCAAAAUAUGAAACUAAAUUUUGAUUUAUUCAAAUUCAAACUUAAAAUUACAAUUUAAAUUUUAAUUUGAAUCCAUAAAUUUAAUUUAAGUUUGAAAUAAAAUUUGAAUAAAACUUUAUAUAAAUUAAAAUUUAAUUUAAAUUCAAAUUAUAAGUUAGAUUCGAAAUAUUUGAUUAAAUUUUAAUUUUUAAUUUAAGUUUAAAUUAAAAUUUAAAAUAAUAUAUUUAAUUUUUAAAUUUUAACUCAUAUUUUAAUUAAAAAAUUUGAAAAAAUAAAUUUAAUUCGAAUAAAUAUCCAUUCCGUCCGGAUUCAACUUUCAAUCCGGCCUCCUAGGCCGGAUUGAAAAAAGAGGUGAUUGGAGGAUUUCCAUUCCACUCGGGAAUUGGAAUCGGAAUGGGACUCCCGCGUACCAAACAUCCACAAACGGAUUCAGCCAUUCCGAUUCCGAUUCCAUGAUGAAAAAGAAGCGAACCAAAUACGCCCUGUAUGUAUGCUUUAAAUGAAUUUAUUGCAUACUUUUAAUAGUUUAAACUUUUGAAGAAAUUGAUUUGGCUCAAAUCCAAAUUAUUUAAGUAAAAGAGAGAACCUUAAAAUUUAUCCGAAAGAUUCCAAAUUGGUUGUGGGCAAGGUGAGGCUAAAAAAGAAUAAAAUGAGAAGCUCCCAUAUUUAUUAUUUAAAGAAAAUUUAAUUAAAUUAAUAUAUCAAAUUAAAUGAGAGGAUAAUAAACAAUGAAAGCGCCAAGAAAUAUCAUGGCAUCUAGUGGUGUCUUUUGGUGCCUUGGCCUUUUUCGACUUCAAUUUUGAGUCAAAAAAUGAGAGAAAAAAAAAAAAGAUUAAUAUUAAAGAGAGAGAGAGAGAGAGAGAGAGAGAGAGAGAGAGAGAGAGAGGGGACAUAAUUUUAUGAAUAAAUGAAUGUAAGGAAGAUUCCACACGCCACUUUCACAAGAAGUUGUGACAAGUUAGCCCCUUCCCCAGCUACACCUUUCUAGUAUCUUUGCUACUGUCUGGUGCAGUUGAUUCGUAUCUCGGCGGUUACUAAAAAGAUUAAAAUUUGAUAUCUCGUAUGUAGUGAUGCAAAUGGAUUAGGGUUGGUGAAUAUUCUGUAUUGAUCUACUUCCGAUGGGACAAUAAGUGAGUGCCAAAAAUUAGAAAUUUAAUAAUUCCAAUCGAAUCCUUCCUGCUCCGCUAAGAAAUAGAGCGAGAGGCGAGAAACUUUUUUUUUUUUAAUUUGAUCUGUCCCGAUCCUCUAAAAUCUACUUCUAUCUCUUUCUGUCUCGAAUGGAAUAGUAAGUGGAAAAAAAAUAAUAAGAUAAAAUUCAACACACUCCGAAUCUAUCAUGACCUGUAAAGAAAAACAGAGCAGGAGGUGAGAGGUCCCUUUCACCCUCGAAUUCGUCUCGUUUGCAUCCCUAUCUGUAGGUACUUUCAAAGAAAAUAAUUUAGUCCCCGACUACUUAAGUAUCCAUCCAUACUUAUUGUCGCAUUAAAGAAGAGGUUGAUCAUAUCACAGGACAAACAAGGGACAUAUUUAUCUCUCCCUCCUCCUCUUCAACAAUAUUGCAUAUCACAUACAUCAAACUUAUUUUUUUAAUUAUUAAUAUUUUAAAAUUAAAAUAUAAUUUAAUAGAUAUAAUCUGUAUCAUAUAAAAAGUGUAUGUAUAAAAUAUUACAGAGUUUAAAGUUUUAUGAUAGGAUUUAUUAAUACAGUGCUGUUGAUGGCUUUUUAGAACAAGACCUACGAGUGUGUUAAAUAAUAAUAAUAAUAAUAAUAAUAAUAAUAAUAAAGAAAAAAAAAAGGGAAAUUUGAGAAAUCCCAAUGCUAAUGUCCUUUUUAAUAAACUUAAUGUCCCAUAAAUAAAACUUGUUCUUUGGUUGAGAGAUCUCAUCAAUACACUAUUUGGAGAGGCUUAUGUCAAGCCUAGUUAGUUAAUUCGCGAAUUAUUCGCGAAUUAAUGAAAAUCCGAAUUAAACGGUCCGUUUACGAAUUUUUCUCAAAAAAAGAGAAUUAUUCGCGAAUUUUUGGGCCAGCCGAAUUAUUCGCGAAUUAUUCCCGAAUUAUUAAAAAUAUGAGUAAAAAUCUUAUAUUUUGUAUUUUUAAAUAUAAAUUAUCUUAUAUUUUAUAUCUUAUAUUUUAUAUUUUAUACCGAAUCCGUUUUUUAAGCCGAAUUUUUUAACGAAUUUAAAAAUUAGAAAACGAAUUUUAUGCGUAUUAUAUCCGUACUGAAUUUUUGUCAAAUCCGAAUUAACUAACUAUGAUGUCAAGUGAAAUGCUUGUACACUAAAAACCAAUUAGAAUGCAAUGUAUAGUGACAAAGUGAUUCAUCAUGAAUUAAUGAAAAGACACUACAUUACAAAGAAAUAGUAAUCGUUAACAAGGAAUAUGUUUGUUGCAUAUUAAUGACAACAAUAAAUUAAAUAAUACAAUAAGCUAGUAAAUUUAUUUGAUAAACUUAUUGCAACAAUUUGAGAAAGAACUUAAAUGAAAAAAAAAACAAAAUAUUAAAAAGCAUAUAGCAUAGAUAAUAAAUAUGUAUAACAUAAGUAAUUAAUGCAAAUAUCUUGGAUAAUAUCUUGUUCGAGCUGAUCUUAAAUCCCGUAAAUUAUAAAAGAAUUGAUAGCAUAAAUUGUUGUUUUCUAUCUUUCGUUAACCCCUUUUAUUAACUAAGAAUUGCAUGUAUCUAAUUUAAAUAUUUAUAAAUAUAUAUAUAUAUAUAUAUAUAUAUAUUUAUUUAUUUAUUUAUUUAUUUAUUUAUUUAUUUAUAAAUAUUCCUCUUUUACAAUCAAAUAUACAAAGUUGUCACUGGUCUCUAAUGCUUAAUAAGUUACCUUAUAAAUAACUUAUAAAAUAAACAAAGAAAAACUUGUACACAAAGAUAUAUAGAUCAAUUAUUGGUAGGGUACUAUUUACACAACAUCCAAAUUCCACAUCUUUUCACAAAAAGGAAAAUGAAAGGGAAAACUCUAAACGGUUUAAAAGUAUCAAUUAAUUUUUUUCCUCUAUUUUAUUGAAUUGCAAAUAGGUAAAGUGAAAUGUAGUUAGCUUGUCAAAUUUCAAAUGUCACAAUGCUAAGUUUGAAAAGUUAAACCACUCUUAACCACCACGAGCGCAAAUUAAAGUUGGGCUAAUCAAUGGGUAUAAGUUACGUUACUAAUCCUUGACUUUUUUUUUCUAUUAGAUUGAUAUACAUUUUGGAUAAUAUAACAUCAGACACGUUGCUAAAUUUUUAAAUUCUAAAUUCUAAAUUCUAACUCUUUAUUCUAAGAUAAUGUAAGUUUUUUCUGCAUUCACUAAUCUGUGUAAAUAUUGUUGUCUCUGUCACCUUUUUAGUUAGUGCGUGCGUUAGGAUUCGCCUAAUAUUCAAUAUAUAUAAGAGCGAGAUAGUUAAGACUAAUUUUGAUCUUUUUUAUUUGAUAAAUCUUUUAAAUAAUAAUUAGUGUCUUGGAGAUGAGUUCAAAGGUCAUUUUAAUUUAGGAGAAAAAGAAAGCAUCAUAGCCAUUAUUAAUUCUAUUUUCAUUCUAUUUUACAUUUUGUUUUCUUCUUUCCAUUCCAUUUAGCAUAAAAUGUAGAGCACCACUUAUAAAUGCGCCAUAGACAUUCAAAUACAGUUAGUCAUUUAGAUUUGAAGAUUUCGAAUACAAUAUACAACCUGAAUGUAAAGCUAGAAAAAUUAAACCAAAUCAUAAUACAGAAAAUCGACUUGUCAACGAUAUUUUAUAUUUUAAGAUACGUAUAAUAAUACACAUUUUAGAAAAUAUAAAUGAGUUUAUCUAAUAAAAUGAUAAAUCAUAACUAACAAUCAUUUUAUUGUACUUACUUUCUUUUUCUCAUUUAUGAUUCUCCACAACUUUGGACUCCAUCACUUUUCUUUUCUUUUCUUUUUUUCUAUUUAUUUGGACUCUCUUUCCUUUCAAAAGUUUAUGAAGAAGAAUCAUUCUUUUUAACUUAUUGUUUCCUUUGCUUCUCAACUUCUUAUGCACUUUCCACUACUCUUCCAUGUGCAUAUGUCACAUUUCAUGUGCUCUUGUAUAAGUUGCAUAGCUAUAAAAUAUAUUUAUUUAUGUAUCCUUAUAUGGUGUAUGUAUAAAGCACAUACUUUAUUUGCUUCUCAAAUCCCAAUUUUUAUUCUUUUUCAUGCUCUUAUUACUCUCUUUUUUCCCCUCACUUUUUUCUUUUCCAAAGAGUGCCAACUUUUUCCAAAAUAUUAUGUUUUUCUCUCUCUCUUGAUAAGAAUUAAGUAAUAUCUUAGUCAAAAAUUUAAAAAAUUUUGUCAAAUAUAUACUUCAGUAAUUUUACUAAAUUCAAAUACUACUAUUUUUUAGCUGGUGAUAGAACUAAAUUAAUCAAGUAAGAUUAAAACUAUGUGAUUAAAUUUGAUAAAUUUUUUUACUAAUUAAGUUUAAAAACUUAAAUAAAAAGAUUGGAAGUUGAGCGGGUCACAAUUAAAAAAUAAUAAUAAUAGAAAUAAGUUGAGGGAGGUAUUUUAAAAAUGGCAUAUAGUUGAGGGGUCUCCAUACAUAUUUACCUUUUUUUUUUUUUUUUUUUUGAGUAAAGUGGAGUACAAAUCAAGUUUCCUUGUCAUUCAUAAUUCCGCUAUUUCUACUUCAAUCAUUGACUACAACUUUUCAAGAUUGGUCCACAUUAUCAACAUUGAAUAGCCAAAAUUUAAAAAAAAAAUUAAAUUCAAAAAAAUAGAUAGAUAGAUUUUUCUUUUUUACCCUUUCUCUUUUUUAGAGAAAUAAACUUAUGAGUUAGUUAAUUGAGGGCCCAACGGCUUGAUUAAUUAACUAUGAUCACUGUCUAAUCUGAUUCGAAUUUGUCAAUUGCGCGUAAUUUAUUUCUUAAUUGAUCUAUGGUUAAUUAAUUUAGGGACCAUUUGGUUCUAUAUAGUUGUAAUUGUAUAUAGAUUCAAAUUUGAAGUUUGUUUUGAUGUAUUUGAAUUCAAUUGCUACAGUUGUAACUGCACGAGAAGGCUCAACUGCAGCAGUUGAAAUUAUGCCCAAAUUAGGCGCAGUUUUAACUACAGCACUUAGAUAAAGUAAAUUUAAUCAAAGAUAAGCUUAUAUACUUUCACAAUAGCUUUUUAAAUAGAUUUUUUUUCUUUUCUACAUAGAGAGUAAUCUCACCAAACCAUAUAUAAAAUAAUAGAAACUCAUAAAUGCACUUCCAACUGCAUAAAUUUAAAUAAAGUAUUUAUAGCUGCAGCACUUUUUUAUAAUAUUUACUAAACAAGAUGCAUAUAAUUAUAAUUAUUAUAUUUUUAACUACAUUAAUUUUUAACUAUAUUAUAUUUACAAUUAUAUAGAACCAAAACAACCCUCAUUAGAGUAUUAAACUUAGCAUUUUAAUAAUAUCAUACAUCCUAGUCCAAUUAAAAAAUAAAAAGAUGAAUUUCCACUUCCAAAAUAAAAAAAAAUUGCAUUUUCCUCUCUCUCUCUCUCUCUCUCUCUCUCUCUCUCUCUUGUGAGUUUUGAUUUUUUUUAAUUGGAUUAGAUAAAAUUUUUCUCCCUUACUAUAUUCUACAUUUGCCUUGUCCUAAUUUACCCAAUAUGAAUAAAAUAUAGUACUUCAUUAAUAAAUUUUUAAAUUGCAAGUUCCUUGCAUAAUAAAAUAGCACUCUAAAAUAGAGGACAUUUUCCACUUGUUUUAUGCAUGAAACAUUUAGAUGAAAUUUUUUAACAUUAAAAAUUAAAGAUUAAUAUAGAAAUCAACAUUAAAAACCUCUAAAUUAACAAGUGAACAAAAAUAAAUGACAUUAACUACAAGUGCAUAUGUAAAACAAUGAAAGUAUGCUAUAUAUAAUUAGUAAAUAUACAUCAAUGACUUUUUUUAAAAUAAAUUGAGAAUAGAACAAAAUUAUAGUUAUCCAAGUGUAAAUAAAAAAUUAAUAAAUUUAAAUAUUUUAAUUAGUUUUUGGAAUCAUAACUCCAACAUAUAUAGCAAUAAUUUUAUAAAUUGGAAGAAACAAAAAAGCUAUUACAACUAUCUAAUUCUCAAAAUUUUCUUGCAAUUCUCAACCUCUAACCCAAAAUAAAAAAAUAAAUAAAUAAAUAAAUGGAAAUUUCAUCCAAAUUAUACACAAAAACAAUUAGAACACUUCAAAUUUAUUUCCAAUUGAUCCUAAACAACACAUAUAUAGGAACAAAGAUUUAGUAAUUGCAUGUACAAUUCUUAUUGAAGCCACUUAAUUAAUUUCUAGACAUGUCAUAACUAAAAUUGUGUCUUUUAACACACACAUAUCUAAUUAAACAUGUUCUCCAUAAUAAAAACCUAUAACAAUUAAUUAAGAUUAAUUUAAUUACUUUAAUUAAUAAUCCACACAUAAAUAACACAUUUAGCAAUUAAUUAACCUGCCACAAGGCCAAAACCCCACCUCCCACCGCGGCCGCCGCCGUCGCGAACCGGCCUAAGCUCACACUCCGUCGACGCGCGCCGUUGGGGUGGUACCCGGGGUCCUGAGGGUACAAUUCGCCAGGCGGCGUGUAAAUCCACGGAUAGUACGGCGGGGAGUACGCCCCCCACGGCGGCGGAGGGCAGAGGGCGGACGGCGGCGAUGGAACAUACGGAGUGUACGGCGGCGGCGGAGGCGGGUACGACCAUAUUGGCGGGGGCGACGGCGGCGGCGGAGGAGAGUACGAAUAUUCGGGGGGCAGCGACGGCGGCGGAGGGCUGGUGAUGGAACAGGGAGUACCGCACGGAUUAUCACACGUGCACUUUACUCCCAACAGUUUCGUACGGCUGAAUGAUGGAACUUCUAAAUCGACCUCGGCACCCGUGCCGAUGAGGAAAAGCAGCUGCAGAAGGAAAAUGAUUAGGAUUGGUUUCCUCAUCAUUUGGGUAUUGUGGAAUUUGAGCUCUCUCUCUCUCUCAAAAAUUUGGGGAUAAUUUGGGAUUAAUUCUCUUAUUACUCUCCCCUCUCUUUUUUGUUCUCCUUGUUUCUUGUAUAUAGAGAGAGAGAGAGAGAGAGAGAGAGGGGGUCUUAUUGGGUUUAGCAUUAAAUUUUGUCCCUAGGCUUUUUUUUUCUUUUUUUCUUUUUUUCUUUUUUUUUUUUCAAGUGCUCAUAGGCGUAAGGGUAAGGUGACGUGGAUGUGAUGGCUCUAUGUUUGUUGCAUUAAUUAAUUACUAAUGGAUUUUGUACAACUGGGGUUGUAGCAAAUUACUACAACCUAGAUAGGUGGCAUACUAUAUAUUAUAUAUUUUUAACUAUGUAGAUGAGGAAAUAAUUGAGCUUUCAAUUCACUUUCUCACUUUUGUACUUUUUUUUCUCUUUUAUUUCUCUCCCAAAUUUUCUUUUGGAUACAAUAUUUUAAUGUUUCUUUUUUAUUUUUAGCAAUUCUUUUAUGAUAAAAUAUCUGAUUUUCUAUUUUUGCACUUUAGUAUCUUAUUAUUUAAAAUAUAACACUUUAAUAUUCUAUAAUCUUUUUUUUUUCGCCAUUAACUCUUUGCUAAAUCAUAUAUAAAACUUCAGAUAUUUUCUACCAUUGGUAGAAAAUAUCUGAUUUUCUAUUUUUUCACUUUAGUAUCUUAUUAUUUAAAAUAUAACACUUUAAUAUUCUAUAAUCUUUUUUUUUUCGCCAUUAACUCUUUGCUAAAUCAUAUAUAAAACUUCAGAUAUUUUCUACCAAUGGUUAAUCAAAUAUUCAUUUUAAUGCCCUGUAGUUUACUAAAUUUUACUUCAGUAUUAUGUAAUUGUAUCUUUAUCACUGAUUAAACAGAAAAAUUAUCGGAGGGAAUAAUUAAAAAAAAGAAAUGAAACCACUUGUUACUAAAGUGAUAUAUUUUAAAUCACGGGAUACUAAAGUGACAAAGCACGAAACCGCAGGGUGGUAUUUGAAGUUUUUUUUUUCUUCAUUGUUGAUGUAUAAAGUAGACGAUUCUGAAUUUCGAUACUGUUAGCUUAAAUAGACCAGCAUCCUACCCUGUGGUGGGAGGCUAUAUGGGCCGAGUCAUGUUCGAAAUAGCGUGAGGCUGUGUUGGACCGAGUCAUGUUCGAAAUAGCGUGAGGCCAGGUGGGCCGAGUCACAAUCGAGACCCGUGGGCGCUGUUUCUGUACGCUUUAAGUGAAUUGGUUGCGUAUUUCUAACAGCUCGAGCUUUUGGGAUUAAUGGUUAGCGCCAACGAUCCGACAAGUGGUAUCAGAGCCAGAGGUCACGGGUUCGAUUCCUGCAUGCUGCAAAUGUGUGCAGGUGCUGGAGGGGGGACUGUUGGCUUAAAUGGGCCAGCAUCCUGCCCUGUGGCGGGAGGCCAUGUGGGCCGAGUCAUGUUCGAAAUGGCGUGAGGCUGGGUUGGGCCGAGUCAUGUUCGAAGUGGCGUGAGGCCAGGUGGGCCGAGUCACAAUCGAGACCCGUGGGCGCUGUUUCUAUACACUUUAAGUGAAUUGGUUGCGUAUUUCUAACAGCUCGAGCUUUUGGGAUUAAUGGUUAGCGCCAACGAUCCGACAGAUACACCAGCGCGAAUCUUAAAGCAUAGCGCGCAAUCUCGAUGCACGAUGGGUGGUAAAAUCCGAGUUAUUUUUUAAACUAUAGAAUUCAAACCAAUCAAAAUGCUUAACAUGAUAAUAACAAUAAUAAUAAUAAUAAUAAUGAUAAUAAUAAUAAUAAAGUUCAAGUUUUAUAUAUUGUUUGUGUAAAUAUCCUGAUAUUUUUAAAUAUAUUUCUGUCGUCAGAAUUCAUUAGAAAAAAUUAGUUAACCAUAAGUAAUAUAUUUAACCCUACUUAGUUAGUAAAGUGAAUUAAUAUUUUUAUCCCUCUUUAAUUAACAAUUUGAAUUUUUAGAGAAAUAUAUUUGUGAUGACAAAAAAAGCAUUUCACUUAUAAAAUAAUUAGUGUUUUAACGGUAAUAAACCAGAGAGACAUAUUUGAAAACAUUAUGAUUUUUGCAGGAAUAACAUAUAAAAGUUAAACUCUAUAAGAAUAUAUUUGUAAUUUACUAUAUUUAAAGGGACCUAUAUGAAAUUAACCCUAAUAUAUAUAUAUAUAUAUAUAUAUAUAGACUUGGAAUACUAUUAAAUAUAAACACUCUUUUUGCUAUCAAAUUUUUUACCCUUGGAUGAAAAAUUGUAGGGUCGGGAUGAUAUUAGUCGGUUAGAGUUGAAUGGUCCCCCUAGGAUUGAGUGGUCCCCACUGGAUUAUAGUAUUUAAUCCAAUGGUUAGAAAUAAUGAAAAGAGUUGAUCCAAAGGCUAAAAAACUGGUAGCAACAAUGGGAUUUUGCUACUAAUAGUAGUCCAGUCGAACUAUAUAUAUAUAUAUAUAUAUAUAUAUAUAUAGAGUGCGGCUACUAUGCUAUUGGAAGCACGGAGCCUUCCGUGCUUCCACCUCGUUUUCGAUGUUGCGACUUUCAAAUCGUCGAUCGGCUCCAUUAAACUUGAUCUAGAGUAUUUGGAGUAUCUAAAAAAAAAUUUUAUUAUUUUUCGAUAUCAUUUGCCUAGUGAUCGAAUGGGCUCAAAAUAACAAAUUUCAAUGGCCAUAGUGAGCUGUUUGCAAGUUUAACGGUGUAGAAAUAUCCAAAUCACGUGAAAUUUUGAUAGAAAAUUCUUUAUACUAUAUAAACAAGAUCAAUAUCUUUGAUUUAAAAUUUUAAUAUCAUAUUAUUACAUUUUGUAAUAUUUUUAUUUUCAGUCAUUGAUUUUGAGCCCUUUCGUUCACUAGGCAAAUGAUAUCGUAAAAUCAUAAAAUUUAUUUUCUAGGUACUUCAAAUACUCUAGAUCAAGUUUAACGGAGCCGAUCGACAAUUCGAAAGUCACAAUAUUGAAAACGAGGUGGAAGCACGGAAGGCUCCGUGCUUCCGAUAGCAUAGUAGCCUCACUAUAUUAUAUAUAUAUAUAUAUAUAUAUUAUAUAUAUAUAUAUAUAUAUAUAUAUAUAUAAUAUAUAACACACAAAAAAAAGAAAAGCCGGUAUACUAUCGGUAGCACGGAGACCUCCGUGCUACCAAGUUGUUUUCAAUUAUGCGGCUUUCAAAUCGACAAUCGGCUUCGAUAGACUUGAUCUGCACUAUUAAAAAUGUUUGGAAACUAAAUUUCAUAAUUUUUCGACAUCAUUUGACUAGUGAUUAAAAGGUCUCAAAAUUGACAAAUUUUCGACAUCCUAAAUUCAAGUCUUUUAUCAUCAUUUUUUAUAAAAUUUUUAUUUUCAGCCAUUGAUUUUUAGACUACUCGUUUGAUAGGUAAAUAAUGUCAAAAAAUUAUGAAAUUUAGUUUCCAAACACUUUCAAUAGUGUAGAUCAAGUCUAACGGAGCCGAUCGUUGAUUUGAAAGCCGCAUCAUUGAAAACAACUUGGUAGCACGAAGACCUCCGUACUACCAAUAGUAUACCAGCCUAGCUAUAUAUAUAUAUAUAUAUAUAUAUAUAUAUAGUCCGGCUACUAUACUAUUAAUAGCACGAAGCACUAGGUGCUACCAAAUUUUCCGCCGUUAGAUCUACCCUUUUGAUCAUUUUCACCCGUUAGAUCAUACUAUUCAACCAGCCACCCACUCAACCCUAGGGGGCCCACAUCAUCCUAACCACACAUCUCUUAAUUCAAUGGCCAAAAACUUGGUAACACCAAUGACUUGGUGCUAUUAAUAGCAUAGUAGCCUAGUUCUAUAUAUCAUUAAAAACGUGCCACAUCGGCCGUUAAAAUAGUCAUUUUUGAGACCUUUUGAUCGCUUGGUAAAUGAUGUCAAAAAAUUAUAAAAUUUAGUUUCUAUAUAGUUCCAAUAGGAUAGAUUAUACUUAACGGAGCCGAUCAUCGAAUCGAAUUUCCUAUCAUCGAAAAUAACUUACAAGUACGGAGGUCUCCGUACUUUCGAAAGUACCGGAGACUUACUCUCUCUCUCUCUCUCUCUCUAUAUAUAUAUAUAUAUUAAUUCGAAUUUGUUGGACCCUCGAACUUGACCUCACCCAAAAUUGUAUGGUGAGUAAUCUCCCGCCCUUCGAUCGCGAUCGGACGGUCGAUCGCUUUUGAUGGUGAUUUUGAAGUGGACUAUACAUGUAUCUGCGUUAGUUGGAUGACAUUUAAUUUGCUUCGAGAUCGACAAGGUGCUGCAAUCGGACGGCUCACAUCUCUCUCCGUUAAAGUUUCAUUUAUGAUUGUAUUUUUGAUUAGUACUAAAUGUUGGUUUUACUAAGUCUUCGGAAUUAAUGACAUAAAAUGUUGUGAUAGAGAUAGGUGGAGAGGGAAAAAAAAAAAAAAGGAAAAAAAAUGAUCUUAAUUUUAUAAGAUAGGAGAAAAAAAUUACUUUUUUAUGUUUUUUAAUUUCCAUCUUCUUUUCGAUCUUUUCGUGGUAAUAUGUUCAUAUAUAUUUAUAUAUAAUUUAAUUAUUUAAUAUGUUGAAUUUGAUGAAAAUAAAUUAACUAUUAUAUUUACGAGGUAACGAAAUUUACUUACGUACAUAAAAAUAAAUUAUCGAACUCAAUAAACUAGUUAUACUAACAAUAAGCUAUACAGAAUAAAUACAAAAAUUGAUUGAAUUUAAUUUUCAGACUGUAUGAGUUAUAUUAAAAUAAAAAAAAUAAAAAAAUAGCUAUAUUUGUGACACUCUAGGAUUUGAAAUAAUAUAUAUUUAAAACAUAGUAAAACUACAUAUCAUAACCCCGCAAUGUACUAUUUUGGGUGAUGACUAGGUUCAAAAGGGUCCAAAAGGUUAAUAGGGUUAAAUAUUUUAGAACUAGAGUAAUUUUAGGACAGACGAUCCCCCUAAUAACCAAAAGGUCGCGACACUUCAAGAGAACUAAAAUUUCUCUAUACUUAAGUUACGUUGGAUCUAAAGAUUCGUCAAUCCAAAUGCCCUAUAAAAAUUAGAAUUUUUAUAUGGCUAAUGGUUAAUAACACGAGUCAGGCUACUAUAGUCUAUAUAAGUAUAGAUCACUUUAUAUUUAUAAGUUUUCGGCCGUUAGAUCUAUAUAUCAUUUGAUCAUUUUUAACUGUUAGAUUACACUAUUCAAUCAACCACCCACUCAACCUUAAGAAAUUACUAUUAUUCUAACCGGCGAUCACUAUCAUCUUAACCAUACAUUUUUUUAUUCAACGAUCGAAAGUUUAUGAGUACAAAAUGGACUAUAGUCAUAGCAGUAUAGUAGCCCUAGCCUAAUAACACAUUAUGGACAGAGAAAAACAUGAUGAAGAAAGAGUGGAGAAUCAAUUCAAAGGGAUUUGCACUUUUGUAACAGGCUAGUUUAGCUAGUCUGCUAACUAUCUCUUUAUUGCAUGUAGGUUUGUGAGGAUUAUAUGGCUUUCUUUAAACAUAUUUAUAUGGCUAAAUUAUAUAAAAACACUAUGUCAAAACUCGAUUUUUCACUUUCCCUCCUUGUCAUUUAAAAACCUACACUUUGCCCCCUUGUAAAAUGAAAAAUAUUCACUUCGCCCCCAGCCAUUAGUAAACUGUUAGGAUUCCGUUUAUAAAAUAUUAUUAUAUAUUUUUUUAUGCCAAAAAUGCCCUCAGCCUUCUCUACUGUGAACAUGGUGAUGGGCAAAAUGGUGAGGGGCAAAAUGGUCAUUUUAUCAUUAUAGUUCACACCGUACCCUCUGUGAAUAUUUUUCAUUUUAUAAGGAGACAAAGUGUAGGUUUUAAAUGACAGAGAAGGAAAGUGAAAAAUCGAAUUUUGACAGAAAGAUUUUCUGUAAUUUAGCCUAUUUAUAUUUAUAAAAAAAAAAUCUUUACCCUCUGAUGUCAAAGACUAGUGGUUGAAGUGAAGGAUGAAUGAAAGAGUGAAGUGUCAUCAGAGACAAGGAUGGAAUAAUAUUGUAGUCAUGGCUAUUUUUUGGUGUAUUUGGUGAGAAAGUAAUAAUAGAAUAUUCCAUGCAUGGGGUGCCUUAUUCAGACAUGAUUCUUGUAUAGAGAAAAUUAACUAUUUUGCUUCAAUGUGGGUAGAUAAGUUGGUGUAGAGCAAAAGAAGGAAUUCUUUUAUUUUUCAGAUCAAGAAGAGAGCAAUAAUAUUGAUGCAUGUUGAUAGUUUUUUAUUCUUCUUUGUUUGUUGAUUAAUUUGCUUGUUUAUUCAUCUAGGAUGUGAUGGGUUUUAGUGAUUAUAUAUAUAUUUUAGUGGUAUAUUAUUUUAAGAGUUUGCUGAUGAAACAUUUUAUUUUUGUGGUUCGAUCUCUGCGUGAAAUAUAUGAAACAAUUGUUGUACUCUAAAAACUUAAACUGUUAGAGAACACGAUGUUUAUAUAUUUUUUUAUAUUUAACGCUUCUCCUUAUGCUUGGGGUAGAGACUUUUUACAAUGGCCCAUGACGUGGACUUGAAUUAAAUGAGAGAAAAUUAAUGAUAUUAGGAGUCUACCAUUACUCGAACUCAGGACCUUCUUCUCUGAUACUACGUGAAAUAUAUGAAACAAUCGUUAUAAUCUAAAAGAUUAAGUUUUUAGAAUACAACGAUUGUUUCACACUCUGUACGGUUAACUUUUUUUUUUCUUUAAUAAAUAUCUCUCAGAGAUUUCUCUCCUAUUUAUUACUCAAAAAAAAUAAAUAAGUAAGGGAGCUUUGGACUUGUGAAGCCUAUGCAAGCAACUUCAAAAUGAUGAAAAAGGAAAACUUUAAUUUUGGCUACAAUGAUUUCAGUGGGAGAGGUUUCAAAAAUUUUAGAACCUAAACUUAGAAAGAAGGGUUGAAUAUGAAAUAUUAAUAUAUCAUUGACCUCUAAUAACUUUUUAAAUUUUUGGCUAAAAUACUGAGAUUUUUUUUUGUAAAUACUUUUUUUUUUAACUUUCAAAAACCUAUAUUUUACCUCAAAUUUUCAGAAAUAUUUUCAGAGAGUUACAGCAUUAAUGGAUAGAUGAAAUUAUCAAAAUUUUCUUACUUGUUGUUCUAUAAGAAAAUUUUUUAAUAUAUUUUUAUCAUUUUCAAAGAUAUUUUCGAUAGAAAUUAUAAAAAUGAAGGGAACAGUGACAGAACCCUAAUGGAGGGGGACUAGAUGCAUCAACUUAAAAUUUUAAGUGCAUAAAAUAUAAGUUUUUGAAAGUCAAGAAGAAAAAGUAAAAAAAAAAAAAAGAUAUUUAUAGAAAUUUUUUUUGUAGUUUAACCAAAUUUUAAAGAUAAUUGAUUAUUUCAUAUGGUAUUUACAGGAUUGAGGCUUUUUGUUGCCAAUUCCUAGCAACAAAUAUUACUACAUUAAAUCCCUUUCCAAAGUGUAAAAAUCAAAUGGUCCAUAAUUUGUCCUUGACUAUGUUUAUUAUGUCAUGAUAUACACAUGGGAGAAAAAUGAAAAACAAAAAAUCAUUUUCACUUUUCUUUUGAUUUUGAUCAUUUGGCUCUCAAUUUGGUGUACCCAUGCUACAGGAUAUGGAUUGUUCACCUAAUUUGACCCCCCCCCCNGACAACUAAUUAAUUACUAAUUAAUUAUGCUCCUCCCCCUCCCCCCAAUAAAAGGGGGGUCCACACCACUCACUGCCUCUACCUGCACCAAGACAUUUUUUUUUUUUUUUUUUUUUUUGAGGGAAAACACGCCCUAAGGUGAUUUUAUUUAAUUAAUCAGUGGAUACAGACUGGAAAAAAUCAUCAAUAGACGACCAUAAAAAAAACUUUUUGAGUUGUAUAGUUAUAUCGAGGAUUUUUCUAUUGUUAAGUUUUGUACGCGGUAAAAAGCGAGUUAAUUAAAUACUAAUUAAGUUAAUGAAAUAAUUAUGAUUUUACCUUUAACUAUCCCUAGCUUGUAGGGUAAAGAACUAAUGCAUGUUUUUCUUUUCUUUUUAUUUAGAAUAUAGUUUUUAAUUAUAUAGCUUAUAUCAGAAUUUUUUAACUAACUUAUUAAGUGUGAUAUCUAUUAGUUUUACUUGAAUUAACUCUUUCUCCAUAAGUUUUGUUAAAAUUAUGAAAAUCACUUUUCUCAUGAUAAGUUUACAAAGUUUAUAGUUAAUUGGAGUGUAAAAUGAAAUUUUACAAAUAGGGGUUUUUUGAGAAUAUCUUUGUUAUAUUUACGAUGGCAUUAGUAAUAUUCUAAACCUUAAAAGGGUAUUGAUGAAAUUAUAGUUAGUAGUAGGGCGUUUCAAAAAUUAUCUGUGUUUUUUAAAAUACCUAUAUGGAGCGAGAUUCAAAGUACUUGGUAAUAUUGCUUAAUAAUAAAGACAGAAACACUACAACAGAAUUAGGUUAUAGGGACACAUGUUUGGGACACAUGUUUGGGACACUUUUGAGUAAGUGUCCCAUUUAUCCUAAAGCUUAAAAAAACAUCUAGUAAUGCCUAAAUAUAAAGCCCAAUCCAACCAAAAAUAAAAGAUUACUCUACUCAACCCACCACAUCCAGUCCAUUUGGCCCGAUUACAAAUAGAAAAGAAAAAAGAAAGAAAAAUCAAUUACCAUCUUUUCUUCUCUCUUCACUCAAUCCACUAAAAUUCUAGACGAAGAGCCUUUCCUGUCGUCCUCCUCCGCCACCACAGUCAACGGGAUAGAGUUUCGGCGGUUGCUACAUGCUUAAAUAAGUGUUCGUAAAUUAGCAGCACUCUUUUAGGUUAUAGCGACACUCUUUAACUGUCACUAUAUACCUAGCGACCCCACAUAUAGCAACACUUUUUAAAAGUGUCGGUAAUUUUAGCUAGUAGCACUUUUUUGACAUGUACCUACAUUUAAAAGUGUCGCUAUAGACCGUUUUUGUUGUAGUGAAACGAGCUACUCUAAAUAGUGGUGGUUUUACUUAAACUUCUGAUUCAGUUUAUCUAAUUGUUUAACAUCUUACAGGCCUUUAAUUUUAAAUUUUUAAGUUUUGAUUAGACAAAGAAUUUGUUGAAAAGGAAAAAAACAAGCAUUGGUGGUCAUGUUAACAUAAUUCAACACAUUUUUUAGUUCUUCAAAAAGAUUAAAAGGCUUUCAAAAUCUCCUUUACCUUUUUUUGUUUUUUUUUUUUCUUACACUUCUAGUUAAAGCUAUAGAAAGUGUAAACAUGGUAUAUAUAUAUGUAGACCUUUAAAAAAUUAACUUCAAAAGUUUAAAUUCUUUUAUAUGACCAUGGAAAAAUAAAUUGUUACACAUAUACAUUGCAAAAUCUCUAUCUAGUUUCUCCUAUGUGGUUUGUAACUCUUAAGCUCUAACAACAAUGGUCCUAUGUGAAAAUAUAUUUUUAUACAAAAGCACCUAACCACAAUUAAUUGAGUCUAAAGGACCAUGAUUAGAAUAUGCUACACUAUAUUUUAUACAAUACUUUUGACUAUAAGUCAUCUUUAUUUAAAAACUUUGCACAAAAAAAAAGAAUUUCUAUUGCAAAUGAUAUAGUGACAUAAGAUUAUCUCAAAAGAAAAAAUUUUAAUUUAGAGCUUUCAAUUCGUUUAAUACAAAGAAUAGCUACUGGAGCGAAUUUUACCAUAACACUUCUACUAAGAAUAUUACUCGAGUGGCCUUAUAUGAUAUAGCAUUACACUUUACAGCAGAACCAAAUGAGCCCUAAUUCAACAAUAGAGGUGAAUAAAUAAGGGUCAAAUGGUCAACAUAAACAUAUUUUUCAAGCAAGGACAAUUGCAAAGCACUAUGGUUUGGAACAAAAAUUUUUUGAAUAAUUUGGACCCUUGUUGGAAGGAACAAAAGAGAAGGAUAUGAAAGAGACCCACUACCAACUUGAUACUAUUGGUUUUGGAAGGAUCAUAAAAUAUAAAGAGGACCCAUACACACCAUACACACACAAAGAAAAGAGUGGGGCUCAAAAGAAUGGUUUUGAGUGGGAAUCUACUAAUUAUCAAUGCAAUGGGGUAUUGAUUGAGAUAGGAAAGCAAUUUCCAAGCAACCUCUUUCAAUUCAAAAGCAUCUUCUUCUUUGGUCUCUAUAGCACUCUCCCUUAUCUUCCAAACAUGCACAUUGAGAAGCUUUGAACAAAUUAAUGUUGUACAAAUUGUGACCUUGGGUGGAGGAUUCUCAUUGGCCUUUUCUUUUCUUGAAUAUUGUAAUGUUGUACUAUUCAUUUCCAUUUUAUACAAACAAAAAAAAAAAAAAAUUAUGAUUAACUAAUAAUGGAUGAUUACUAAGUAGGGACAAAAGGAUUAAGUGGAAUAGCAUGGAGGUUUCAUUAGGUAUAAGGUCAUAUGUUUUGAUAAAUUGUAUAAGGUCUGCGGUAGCAAUAAAAUACUGUAAGUACGAGAAAAAAGUCCAACUUAGAAUCAAUGAGCACGAGCCUAUCCGUGUUUUACAUCCCUGCUCUUAAUAUAUAUUUCUGAGUCUGUUUCCCACUAGAUCGAUCUUUUGGAUAAUAUGAUAUAUAGUAGAGUUAGUUUAAAAUUCCUUUGUUCUGUGAACACAUAAUUAAAGCACUGUUAGACUUGCAAAACUCUAAAAUCGGUCGAUCUCUCCUCCGUCUGUCGCAUGUGUGUAUGUAAAUAGUACGUGGGUAACGAUUUUUUCUUGACCAGUUAUUUUUCAUUUUUUUUUUCAUAUUGUUGGAAAGAAAAAUUGUAAGAAUUAGCAUUAGAUAAAAACGGCAAAACUACAUCAAAGUUGGGCUCAGAGAACCAUCUAAAAGUAAAAGAAUAAUAAUUCAUAGAAACCUUUGCUAAGUUAUGAACAAUACAGUUUCCCCUGUAACUAGUAUAAACAUACAAGGAAUUGAUUAAUUUUGGCUAUGGGCUUUUAUGUUGGGAUAAAACAUGUGGGUUUGUUGUGUUGGGCCAUGAUAUAUAUCAAGGGUAAUGUUUUUUCUUAUUCUUUUAUGGUUUUCUUUUUUUUUCCCUUUUUUUAAAAAAGUGGAAUUCAUGUAAAUUUAAAUAUUUUUGGAGUUACCAAUUUAUCACAUGUAAAAAAAAAAAAAAAAAAGGUCUUUGGUUUAUUAUUAUUAUUACUUUACGGACGAAACAAUUUGGUAAGCACCAGAAUACCGCAAUGAAUACAAAAAAAAAAAUUCAAUACGAAAAAAAAAAAGAAGAAAUACAAAGAAAAAGAAAAGAUAUUGAUGUGUCCAUAUGUUAUAGACAGGUUUUUUUUUUUUUCUUUUUCCUUAAAAAAAAUUUGUAAACUUCACCUAUGCAUGAUAUGGUCCAAAUGUCUAAUCUGUGAUUGUUACAACUUUUAUUAUUUAAAAGAAUUAAUUUGAUUAAUCCAUACCUGUGCUUAUAAUUUUAUGAUGUUACUGACCUCUUUCUAACUGAUGAAAAUGGAUUGUUAAUUUAAAUCCAAUUAUAUAAUUGACUGGAAAUCCAAUUAUAUAAAAUUUAAAUAUUUAUUAUUUUAUAAUUAUUUUUAUAAAUUUUAAAUUUUUUAAUCAAGAUACUAAUUUAAAUAGAAAUAAUUUAUUAUUUAUACUUUAAAUUUUAUAUAUUUUUUAAAAAAAUUUAAAACUUUACCGACACUGCACGUCCCGUGCCUUCCGGGCCUAAGGGCCAUGCUGGACCAGAGGCUUGGUAGCUCCAGCCCGGCACGGCCCGGUUCUCGGAUUUGGAACCGGGCUUGGCCUGGCUAAUGUCAGUCGUGUCUGCUCAGCACGGCCCACAUUACACCCCUACUCCAGUCCCAACCCACCAGAAUGAAGCGAUAAGUGGGGGAAAAAUUAUAAGAUAAAAACUGACCGGUCUCAAAUCCGUUCUGACUUGCCAAGAAAACUAGCCAGGACCCAGGAUCCAUUCUGACCGGCCAAAAACUAACUACCCUGAAGUUUUGGAAAUAACUAAAAAUUGGGACAACAAAAAAUGGUACAUUAAUUUUAUAUUUGAUAAAUGGUUUAAUUAUAUAUGAUGGAUUAAUGUAGAAUUUAACUUAAGUAACUUUAGUUUGAAAAGUUCCAUUUAAUUUUUACAUCAACAACAUCUUGGACUAUGCUCAACCCAAAAAGAGGGCAUGGGCUGGUGAAGGCCUAUACUUGAGGGGGUUUCACACAUUUUUCAAAUUUUUAUAUUCCUAAUUAAAGAUUCUAGCAUGGGUAAGUGCAAUAUAAUUAAGAAGAUUACAUCAUCAUACUUAAUUUUUUUUUUAUAAAAAAAAUUGUUUUUUGUUCACUAAACAUGUGGGAGAAAGCAAGUAUGUUCUAUAAUUUUGCGACCUUUUUUCCCGUCAUUCAGAUUAAUCUAAAAUUCAUCUAUUGUUAAUUAAAGACAAGGACCGAAAUUAAGAAUAUUCUGGACUCGAAUUCAGAACCUUCUACUACUUUAAUUUUAUGUAAAAUAAUUAAUCAUACCUAAAACUUAAGUUAUUUAUUAGAAAUAAUAUUUUAAUAUUGGAAAAAUCACAAUUAGCCUUCUAUUGUUUAGCACAUAAUUAUUGCUUCACCACCUUGGGAUACGAAAAGUGUUACUUCGCUGCCACACAUUUUAUUUUUAUUUCAUCAUAAAAACUUUGUCAUUAAAAUUGCAGCAAAAUGAUACAAUUUACAAACCAAAUGAUAGGAAACUAAAAUUAUAAACUAUUAAUGUGAUAUAUUUUACCACAUAUGGUUACAUUAUUUUACUAUCCAAAUUAACAACAGAUCGUUACACUAAAAGUGACAUUUUUUGAACUGCGAUGUGACAAAGUUAAAUAUGCUAAACAACAUGGAGGCUAAGGAUUUUUUUUUUCCCUCUUGAAUAUUUUAUGUCCAACAAGGUUUAUAUAUGCAUAACAACCAAGAUUUGAUAGGUCAAUUAUGAAAAAAAAAAAAACAUUUGUCAAAGGCCACAAAAUUGAAAAACAAAAUGUGGUUUAACCUAGAGAGUUGACUUUGUUGUUGACAAGGUGAGUUGACCCCAACCACUCCAACCAAGUUGUGAUAGAGAAGUUUCAAUUUUCAACUGAAAAUGUAUUAAUUGAAAACCUAAUCUCUUAGACUUGUUCUUGAAAUUUUCAAUUGGUCUCCUCUAAUUUAUUGCUUUAUAUAAAUAUAAAUUCUUCUUUCAAAAGUUGGCUCCAUUUCCACAAAUAUAAAAACAAAUUGCUAAGUAUACUUAAAUUAAUUCAUUUAUUGAGUAUUGCAAAUCUUAUGUCAUGUUACUCGGGAUCUAUUUGACUUUGCUGUAGAGUGUAGUAUUCCCAGGUUAUUUCGAUAUAAUUAUUAUAUUACAGAAAAGACGAUAAAUUUUUUUAUAUAUGAAAUAUUGUACUGGUGAACAAAAUAACUGGGAUCAAACAAAAUCUUAGUAUAUAAUUGGCCUGGUUUAUGAGGAGGUAGCUUCUGCACUUCAAGAAGUAGUAGCUGAGCUGUUUGCCAAACAAAAAAUUAAGAAACUUUAUUAAAAGAUUUUUCAUUUCUCUCCUAAUUUAUGUAGCACAAGAUAAAUUUGUGAGGUUAAAAAGAAAAGGGAAAAAAAAUAUAUUAGUGGCUACCUAAGUAGAUUGGUGGAGCUUGGCCUAAAUUUGUUUGGUCUAAUUUGAGCCUACAAUUUGGUUUGUAUCUCUUAUACCAUUUUAUUCUAAUAAUAAAGGUCCACUAGGGCUCUACCAAACAACCUUAUAUAUAUAAUAAUAUCCUUAUAAAAAAAGGUAAAAAUAAAAACAAAUAAAUAUUAAAUAAUAAUAAUAAUAAUAAUAAUAAUAAUAAUAAUAAUAAUAAAUAAAAAAUUGUGCCCAAGGAUAUUAAUAUGCUUACUCAAUGGUUUAAUUGUUAGCAUACAAUAAUUGUGAUAUGCCUAACUCAAUUAUGUUAGCUUAGACUUAUUGUAAUAAAAUUUGUUCUAAGACAUGUUUAAAGUGUAAUUAAUCACGAGAUUUGCGCUCGACGUCGAAGUAAAAUUUUCGACGAAAAUUGAUACAUCUCUUCUUAUAGUUCUUCGAAAAGGAUCUAACUGCGAAUUUGGUUAGUUUUUUUGAAUUUGGUAAUUUUGCGAAAUCUAUUAGUAGGAUUUUGGCCAAAAAUCCACCCAAAAUUUGGGUACUAUAGCUUGAAAGGGUAAGGGAAAAUUCUAUAACCACUUAGUUAUUCAAAACACUAAAGUUAGAAGAUAAUAGAAAUUAGCACAAAGAUACUUCUAAAUCUCAAUUAAUAUAUAGAGUAGGGCUACUAUACUCUUAUGAGUAUAGAGCUCUUUGUACUCAUAAGUUGUUUUCGAUGUUAGGGUUUUCAAAUCGAUGAUCCACACCGCUAAACAGGAUCUAGAGUAUUUGAAACUUCUAGAAAAUAAAUUUCGUAAUUUUUUGAAAUCAUUAUAAAGUCCAUCAAGCAGGUAUAAAAUGAACGGUUAAAAUCAAACUACAUCCUAAAAAUGGAUGAUCGGAUCUUUCAAUUUAAGAUCGGAGUUAUUGAUCUUUAUUUAGGUAGUGAAUAGAAUUUUUGAUCAAAAAUUCAACUUAUUCCGAUUCUUUUUUACCGUUAAACUAGCAAAUAUCUCAUACCGGCCGUUAAAAAUUAUAAUUAUUUUAGCUUUUGAUCAUAAGAUAAAUGAUAUCAAAAAAUUAUAAAAUUUGAUUUCUAAAUAUUUUAAACGCUCUAGAUAAUGUUUAAUGGUAUGGAUCGUCGAUUUGAAAACUCUAUCAUCGAAAAAAACUUAUGAGUAUGAAGGCGAUUGUACUCAUAAGAGUAUAGUAGCCGGACUCUAAUAUAUAUAUAUAUAUGAGUAGGGCUAUUGUGCUAUUAGGAGCACAGCAGCCCUUAUGCUCCUAAGCUUUGUUACUUAUUCCAAGUAUACAUGCAUGAUUCAUUUGGGAGUGGUUUUUCACUACUCUUUUGACAUUGUAAAAUAUUGUAGAAUUUGAUCACUCACCUUGCUUGGUAAACUACUUGUAUUUGCCAAGUGUGAUUAACCUAAACCUCUAAUUAUCUUAAUACUAAUGUAAUGAAUCUGAGAACUCGUCGACAAUCACGCGUGCUUUGCCUAAUUCUUUCGUUUAGAGUCGGAUAACAAACCACGUUUCGAAGAUUAUAUAGUUCAAUCAAUUUCCAUGAAAUCAUAAAUCUCCAUCAUUUACCUUCAUAGUUAUUGAGUGGAAAUCCAAUUAGAUCUUAUCUCCAAAGUGAUAGCAACUCAAAUAUAGGCCAAAAUCAAUUGAAAUAACAUAUCUUAAGUGAAAGUGGCUGCUCAUUAUUCGUCGACAUCGAACAAUCUCGUAGAAAUUGACAAGUUGAUCACACUUACCUAGUUGCUUGGUAAACUUAUCUUUGCAAAGUGGCAUUGACCUUAAUUGCAUCUAAUUAUCUUAAUAAUUUAAGGACUCUUCGAUAAACACGCGUUAGUUUCACAUAGGGCAUAUGUAUAUGUGCUUGGAUCGACGAAAUUUAAUUGUCGGUGAAACUCAAGUGCAGUGAAGUUUAAGUUUCUUUAAACUUAAUUAGCAUUCCUUUUAUUUGUUUGUUUUAGUGAAAUUCGAUUGUUUGAAGUGAGGUUUCACUAUUUCUAUUAUUUGUUUUGUUGAAACUUAAGUAUGUCCUAAGUCAUAUUUUAGCAUUUUUGCUAUGUUUUUCAAUAUAAUUAAGUCCACCUAGUCUUAAAUUAAAUUUCCAAAAUAUAUGUUUUCGCACUUACGCCAAAACAAACAGUAGAAGGAAUCACUUAUACCAUAACUCUAUUAAUUUCUCACCCUUGAGUCACUCCAAUCCAAACAUAUACACCAUUAAUUAGAGUUGGAUACUUGGAUGGUUACAGAAAAUCAAAAAUAAUUGACAAUAGAGCUCAAGAUUUAUUUUAUGAAAAUUUAAUGGAUAAAAUCUCUAUCUUGUCAAAUAUAUUCUUAGAUCAGUUUUCUACUAUAUCAAUCUUAAUUUUAGAUAAUAUAGUAUCAUAACUAAUUCUAAAACCCCUUCAUUUCAUGAGGUUGUGAUCGAGCGAGUUUGAUCCUUAUCUUCGUAUAUAAAUAUUCACGAGACCAUUUCCUACCAUUUCCUCGUGCAUUUUGAGUGGAAACCCAAAUGUUCCUAACUCCAAAAGUAAUAGCACUACAACAAAAUAUGUUUUAGACAAUGCGUCUUCAAUAUUUAAUAUGUACUGACAUCAUGAUUAAGCGUCGCCAAUAAACAUAUUUUUAUCAAAUACUGAUAAAAAUUCUUCGAGGCUAUAUUAAAACGUCGGUAUAUUUAUUUUCGACAUGUUUACUUAACGACUCCUUACUUAGACAUUUUUAUGAGUGUCGGAGUUAUUCUUGUCGACGUUUUAAAUCGUCGCUAGUUAUUGUUUAAAAUGUCCUUAAAUACAAGAUUUGUUUAGUGUAGCAAUUAACUAACUCAAAAAUCAAAAAUAGGUCAAAAUCAAUUGAAAUAACAUAUCCCAAUUCCAAAAAAUGGACCAACAAAUACCAAAGUGUUUCAACAAGUGAUGGAGGGAGGUGUUGAGAUGAGGCACUAACUCAAAAGUGGGAUCCAAAAGUUGCCUUGGCAUUGGAGAGGAGUAGUCGGCAAUGGGUCCCUCCUAGCGCCGACUUUAGCACUAAGGUGGUCGGUGUUGGUGCACAUGCACAAACCAAUUUGUGUCCAGUACAAUGUGGACACAAGUGCCUAAUCAAAAACACAACAUAGUUGACCUAAUAUGAGCACUUGGUGGAGAAUUUUGAUGGUGGAAAUUUUAGGGCUAGUCAAAAGGUGGUAUAAUACUUCGGUUUACUUUCUUAAAUAAUGUGAAAAUAGGCCUAUGAAUUAAAAAAGAAAAAAAAAUUAAAUGAGACUUUGAUACCUUAUUAAAUAACAUGAAAAUUUGUUUAUCUCAGUAAGUUUUAUGUGAAAUCCUCACCUCAUUUAUUCGGGUUGUGGAUUAAAAUAAGUCUUCAAAUUGAAAAACAUAUAUAUCUCCUUUUUGUUACUCAAAGAUAUAUAUAUUUUUAUCUGCAACACCUUGCUUCAAACUCGCUCAACUUUCUUAACAUCUUAGGUAUAGCCACCGCCCAAAAUAUCAUAAACGGAUUAAGAGUUUUAGCCCUAUUAUAUCUUAUAUAAAAGAUUAUUUAUCUUUUAAAAAAAGUAUUAGAUGGACCUAGUCGGACUUGAUCUGCUCUGAUAUCAUGUAAAAUAAUUGAGAUUUUCAUGACGAGCUAUUUUAUAUAAUGUUGGGUGUGAAUUUUUUUCUAAAUUUUCUUGCCAUUUGGUGUAGAGCUUACUAUUCAAAUCAUUAUAUUUUUCUAUCAAUUUACUCCUUAAUAGUAGUAGUUGAACAAUGAAUAAUAUCAUUUUAGGUCACAUUAGUAGUAGUUGAACACUUUUUGGCCUUAAAUGUUCUCAUACUAAUCAAUUAAGAGAAAAAUCAAAUGCUUGACUAUGUAUUGCUAUAAAGGAUUAGGCACUAAGCGAAUCGCGUGCGAAUAAAAUAUAAUUUAUUUAGUGGAAAAUUGGUGAGAUCAUCUUAAAUUAGUGAUCAUAAAUGUAGAACAAUAGCAUUGACAUUUCCUUUAAAUAUAUAUAUAUAUAGAUAUAUGCACAAUGGAAUUGUAAGGCUAACUUAUAUAUGCUAUCACCUAAUUAUAAGGAAUCAAAGUGAGUUUGCUUCAUGUAUAGUUGUUAUUACUAGUUGAAGUAAUGUAGGAGAUUGAAAUACACAUUAUCACCUAAUAUUCCAUUUAUGGUGCCAAAGGAAUCUCUACUAAUUAAGAACAUUAGAGCUACCAAAUAGAUGAUUUAAUCAAAACACUUUCUAUUGAAAACUAACAUAAGUUAAAGGAGAAUUUUGUUUUUAUAUAGGCUCCGUUUGAAAUUGCAGAAAGAUCGCGUUACGUGAUCGAGGUGAAAAAAUACCAUGAGCAAAUAAUCUAUUUAUUUUCGCACGUGAUAUCCUGUUUUGCAUAUUGCGAGUCGAUUACAACAUAAUUUUUAUAAUUCCACUGAAAAACGUAAAAGCAUAUAUCGUCAUACACUUUUGCCCCAACUCUAUUUUAUCUACCAAACGGGCCCUUAGUAUACCAAAUUCCGGGGACUAUGUCUGCCGGCAUAUUUGAUAAGAACAUUCGAGCACAAUUUAAAUAUAAAUUUUGGUUGUUUAUUCUCACUCACAAAAUACUCUAAUAACAAUCAAAAAGACAGAAAUGGAUUCUCUAAUAUGCUGGGGUGCUUUUAAUAGCACCAAAUACUAGCUUGUUAGAUUAUACUCCUUUGAAUAUUUUUACUCGUUAGAUUAUACUAUUCAACCAACCAUCAACUCAACUCUAGAAGAUCAUUAUCGUCCUAAUCACACAUUUUUUUGGUUCACGGACUGAAAAAUCUAAUAAUACUAAUGACUUGGCGUUAUUAGAAGCAGUUCAAUCUAAUUUUCUCUAAUAUAGUAAAGAUAUUUGAUUGGAUAUUAUUAUUCUUAUACAAAAUAUUAAAAAAGAUUGAGCUUGGUGGCCGCUCAGAAGAUACUCUUUUCAUUUCUUUUCUUUUGCUUUUUUUUUUAAAACAAAAUAAAAAUUUAUUCUAGACCAACUUCUUUGACCAUGUCCCUCAAUAAUAAUAAUAAUAAUGAUAAUAAUAAAAAAAUUAGAUUCCUUCCUUUUUGUCCUCUAUAAAUACAUCCUCCCUCUCCAAAAAAACAAAAAAAAAAAAGAGAAAACACACGCAAAUUACGCAAACAUGACACUCCCUCUCCUCCACACCCUCGCGUCCCUCCUCGUCACGUGCUCCCGCCGCGUGUCACGUGCGGCGCGCCGGCUCCGCCCGGGCCCACCGCACUUGCUCCCCCGAUUCCUCGGCCCGCGCCGCAGAAAGAUCGCCGCGGAUAAUCAUAAUCGCCGCCAAAAACUCGCCGAGGAGGAGGAGCAGCAGCAGUGCUACGGCGAGGAGGAGGCGGAGGGGGAGGGGGAGGGGGAGGGGGUGUGGCGCAGGGCGAUACUGAUGGGGGAGAAAUGCCAGCCGUUGGAUUUCUCGGGCGUGAUCUACUACGACUCCGACGGGCGCAGGCUCGACGCCGCGCCCGCCCCGCGCUCCCCGGUUCGGGUGACUCCUCUUCCUCUCGCGGGUUCACAACGGGUCGCGUCUCUUGUAAACGGGUAACGGGUCUUACCCGUGCGAGCUUUGUAGUUGUUGUAGUAGUGUUCAUAAUUUUGUUGGUGAAAAGGGGUAUGCCGAACUUAUCUUCUUUACUAUACGAACUAUUAUUCUAAUUCGACAAUUUUUUUUUUUUGAAAAAAAAAAUUUAAAUACUGCUCAUGUGGUUUUACGCUUUUUCACUUUAGUACUCUAUGAUUUAAAAUGUAUUACUUCCGUAUCCUAUGAUUUUAUUUUUCUUUUUCCGUUAUCUUCUUUAUUAAUAUUUUUAUUAAACCAGUGUCAAAAUUAAAACCACGUGAUACUAAAGUGAAUAUUUGAUAAAUCACUGGAUACUAAAAUAAAUAUUCGAUAAACCAUAGGUGAGGUAUAUUAAAUUUUUUGUAUAUAAUUUAACGGAGAAUUAAGGAAGACGCUGACGAAAAGAAAAAAAUUGAAACCAAUAAAGUACUAAGCUGAUAUACUUUAAAUUAUAUGGUACUAAAAUAAAAAAGCACGAAACUUAGGGAAUGGCAUUUGAAAGUUAUCCUUUUUUUUUAAAUUUUAAUUUUGUUAUCUAAAUUUUUAAUUUAUUUAGUUUAAAUGAGUCAACAGCACUUUAAUUUUAAAAUUUGAAAGAAAGUGCCGGCGACGGACUCAUAUCUAACAAAUUGCAAAAUUACAUAGUAAACAUAGACAUUUUGCAUGGAUGGAUGGUUGACUCAGAAAUAAUUCAUAAUUCGACCAAGUUUUAUACAUUUUUACCUCUAUAUUUUGUUUCAGUAGAGUUUUUAUUUGUUUAAAAGUACGAUAAUGUUAAUAAAAAUUGUUACGUGACGCGUUACAUCAAAUUUUACUUGAGAAAUCAAGCUAAGCUUGGGGAUUCAUGAAUUUUACACUAUUUGAUUUCAUGUGUGAAACAAUAUCUAUGUUUUCCACUACUUUGCUACUUUUACUAGGUAUUUUUGAAUACAUGAAUAUGAAUAUUUUAUAUAGUACUCUUUUUUUGUAUUACUUAUACAAAGACUAUAACAAUAGUAUAGGAUACGCAGUUUAAAAAGAUAAAUCAAACUUGCUAAGAUAAAUCAACUGGCUACUAAAAUACAAUACGUUAAAAACUAAGUGUCCAACUAUGAUACUUUUAAAAGCAUAAAGUAUUUAAUGCUUGUAAAUUUUUCUUCUUUAAAUUUAUUUUUUGAUUAUUUUUAUCAGUUAGAUUAUACUAUUUAACCAACCAUCCACUUAAUCCUAAAGAAUCACUAUCAUUCUAACAGCACAUAUCUUAAUGUAAGAGCCGAAAAUCUACUAGCAUUAAUAACUUAGUACUUUUAAAAACAUAUGAACUCAAUUCAAAAAACUAAUAUCUAACAAAUUUAUAAAUCAUAAAAUUAUAAUAGUUUAAAAACUAAUAUCUAGAAUGUAACGUGAAACACAAUUAAAUCAUCUAUUGUUAAUCACCCAAACAAAGUUGAUUCACACAUGCAUGAAAUAAGAAAAGAAACACAAUCGUGUUUUCAUAUAAGAGGCUUUUGAAGUUGCAAUAAAUCAUCGGAUAAAAGCUCUGCUCUGUUCUGUUUUUUUUUCCCCCUAUUUUCUGAUCCAAAAUGUUGAGAUCAAGUAGGGGAAUAAGAUGAAAUUAAGAAAGAUAAAAGAUAUAAGAAUCUGUUAGCAUGAAGGCCUCUGUACUGCCAAAUUAUUUUCAAUUAUGCAGCUUCCAACUCGACUAUUGAUUCCAUUAGACUUGAUCUAUACUAUUGUUAAGUAUUUGAAAACUAAAUUUCAUAAUUUUUCGACGUUAUUUACCUAUCAAAUGAUUAGUCUAAAAAUAAACGGCUGAAAAUAAAAAAAAAUCUUAUAAAAAAUAAUAAUAAAAGACUUAAAUUUAAAACAAGAGAAACUGAUUUGCGCUUGAGAGCGAAAAGAUUCAUACUUAAUCAGAGAAAUUGCACAAGAGCUUAGUCUAAUUAUGCAAUUAGUCGAAACGGAACUCUUAAUUAUCUGAAAAAAAAAGGAAAAAAGAAACAUAUUUUCAACUCUCCAAAGGAAUGAUAACACUAUUAUUGACAGCGAAAAGGAUUCAUACUGUAUCAAAUGAAUUGCGCAAAGAAACAAAGAAAACAAAAUGAGAAGAUAAACUUGUAAAAUGCUACGCAUCAGAUCUCUUAUGCAUUGCAGUAAAAUCCCAGAGAGCUUACCUGCUCAAAUUUGACUACACGUCGCUGAAUCGCCAUCUGCGCACAGCCUGCUGCAGAACUUCUGCUCUAGCCCGAUUCCGCAUUGCCUCCUCUUCUACCCAGCACCUGGUUUGCAUUAUUUUGAACAAAGGAAUUCAAUAUAGUAUAGUCACACCUCUCUACCUUGCUCGAAAGGUUUCCGGUAACCAUAUUGAUUUCGCGGACCAUUAGAGACAUGGUAUAUGAUUGCAAAAUCGAAAAAAAAGAGGACCGAGUUAAAUCACCUGAGAAUAUAGAGAGCCUCUUUCUCGGCUUCCAAUAUCGACUUGGCUUCAAUUAUCGCAUCCUGCUUGCUUCGCAUAUCAUCGUGUAACUUCUCCAAAUUUAGUUGCUCGGCCAUAACAUUAGCUCUCUCAGCAGAAAGCUUAUCGCACAACCCGUCAACUUCUUCCCUUAAGGCCGAAAGCAGCUGCUUCUGACAAUCCAAAGCAGCUCUCUCUUUCAGGUAAGAAGCCCUGCUUUCCUCUUGAGCUAAUUUCUCCUUCUCUAACUCAUCUAAAGCGGUCUGAAGAUCCUUCUCGGCCUCAAUUUCACGGUCUAUCUCCUUUUUUAGCUUCUCAUCCCAAUAACUCUGAAUUUCCCCUCUCUGAAUUAACUCUGCCCCGAUUUCCUCCAUUUCAGCUAGCCUUGAUGAAUUUUCUGCUUCGAGUCGUGACAGUUCAGCACGGAUUACUUCGGCCAUUCUGCCGCUGAUUAAUGCUACUGCUGCCUGUGCCUUUGUUACAGGUUUAUGGGGCUGAAGAAGCCUAAUGUUUCCUGUUGAAUAUGAAGAAAAUUACAAAAAAAAAAAAUUAAAAAAAAAGAAAGAAAUGUAAGACAGAUUUUGAUUACUUGUCAAAAAAAAAAAAUAUCAACGAAAAUUGAUCAAUAGUUAAAAUUCAGCACAGCCGCAAAAAAAUAUGGAAAUAUAUAUAUUCUUCUUAUUGGUCAUAGAGUAGGCCAUUUUUUCCAGCUAUAAGAUUAAGAAGAAGUACAUCGUAUACAUAGUACAGAACCAUACGAGAUCACAUGGACCAGUAAUCUGGUAUACAUGGAUUCAAAAUGGAAAGGAAAAAAAAAACAAUAAGAACCGCAUUACGAAUAACUGAUCCACAACUAUAUGCUAGUAAAUGGUCGUAUACUUCCAAUCUACAGUUUGAUCCAAUGCCUUGAGUUGAAAUGGACAGGCUUAUAUUCUAGGUGGUUAUUGUAAGAAAUGUUUACUAGAAAACAUGCUAUCAUCAUAAAUGCGUACUAAGAAUCUAGGUGUCACGGACACAAACACGGGACAUGAAAUAAGACACGAUUCAGACACAGCAACUCGAUAGAUUCUAAAAAAUUAGGAUACGGAUAUGACAUGGACACCACAAAUAAUAUUAUUAAUAUAGAAAUAUAUUUAAAAUAUAUAAAAUAUAUAUUUUACUAAAAUAUUGUUAUAUUUCUCAUACGAAGUUAAUAAAAUUCUCAUUAAUAGUUCAUAUAUUAUAAGGAAAAAAAUUCUCCACCAUAAAUAGUUUAUUUAUAUCCUCCAAAAAGAAUUUGGAUGCAUUCAUCAAAAAGCCAAAUAUUUAUCAUAUUACAUUAUAUUUGCAUUAAAAAAAAGUAAAAUAUGUUCUUUUUUUAAUUGGAUGUGCUAUGGAAGCGAGCAUUGGUGUCGGACAUGCCUGUGAUACAUAGACUAGAAAACAUCCUAGAAUUCAUAGAUGUAAAAUUGAGAAUUUCUUGAACAUUGGGGAGUCCAGAUUGAAAUUUGAAAAGUAAUACAACUUCAGCACAAAGAGUGAACUUAAAAGGGGACAUAUAAUUUAAAUCAACUUGCAAGCAACUUAAAAGAUAUAUUUCAGAAGCGAUGAAAUUUCAAAUAUACGAAUAGCCUUCCUCAAGAGAAUCAGGCCAAAAAUAUGCCUAACUGUUCAUUGAAAGAACCAAUUGGAGGGAUCCAAUAUAAGAAAGAAAUCAUAAAUUCAGAUUCGGUCAUAUAUUCUGAUUUCUUGGAAAAGAUGGGAGUUCGUCAAUAGAAUUUCAGACUUUGAUUUUCGAAUUUUAAGAAAUCAAAUGUAUGACAGAAUUCUUUAUUGGGGUAGUUUUGGCUGCCAGUCCAACGACUGAUUUCACCUGGCUGGAGCUUUGAAGAAACGUUGUUUGAAUAGAACUGUUUGAAAAAGUACUGACAGUUAACCUAGUAAGUUCCCCAACAGCUUCACACUGUAGAAACAGAACGCUAAUUUCAGCUUCCCGCCGCAGCACAACCUCUGGAGCAACUAUUUGCAAGCAGCUGACCAAACAAGCAUCGAACCAAAAAUGAAACAGAGGAUAAUUUGUAGGUCAUACCAAAAACUCUCCUGAGUAUGCUCCUUUCACCACCCAUAAAGUCCACCAGCAAUUGUGUUGGUACAUCAGAACAAGCACUCAAGUCCAAAAUGCCCACCUCUUCCCUUAAUAUCUGGACUGUAAUCAAGUCAGACUUUUGCAGCAGCAAGAAACCAAGCAGCAUCGUACCAAAAACAGGAGGAAAGAAAAAAAGCAAAUUUGAACAGUUGUUGUUUAAGUACAUUAAUACCUUUUCAUCCAUUCCAGGAGUGAACGAAUACUCUAGAAAGGUUUUCCACCUCAUCAGAUCAAGUCGAGAUAAAUAUCUACACGACAACAUAAGCAGCUAAUGAUAAAGACAAGCAAAAUUAAAAAGUGAGAAAUUACAUACAUAAACCAGAAAAUUUUUAGUUGGUAAUUACAUAUGUAUCCCAGUAAAAUCUGCAUUUUCCUACAUCCCCCUUCAAAAUUUUCUUAAAUAUAUAUUCUUUCACCGACAAAAAUACACCUCUUUAAAAAAAUUUCAAACACAAAAACCAACUUGCCACAUGAAUCGGAUUCCUUUUCAAAAAACUGCAGCAUAGAGGGAAAAGUCAGCUUUUGACAGCAUGUAAAUGUAAUAACAUAAUAUUGUAGGGGUAUAUAUACAUAUAUAUAUAUUUUUAGAUAAAAGCUCCAGUAAUGUAGGAUGAAUACACCCAUAACAAUAGAGAAACAGCCAGUGUCUAAAGAUAGAUACCUUUCUGGGAAAAAAUAGAAAUUUCCUAGACCACCAGAGUCACCAAUAUAUGAAGAACCGACAUAUGUGAUCUUGCUGUCAACGAUGCCAGAUUCUCCUAGUGCUUUUGAGCACAAAUUGAUCUUAUCAGAUUAUGAGAUUUCUAACAGAAACAACCGUACAGUUUGUCAAAUACACAUUGCGGACAACUUACACUGAAUAAACCAGAAAUCAGGAUCAUCAACAGGCACAUCAUCAAAAGCAGUUGCAGCCGCACUAGAAACCAAGAUGUUUGGAAUAAUUUUGUGCCUUCUUUUCCUGCCAAGAUCAUAUUAUAAACUAACAACAAUAUUAGUUUUCUAACACAAAAAUUUCAUAUAACCAAAACAAAAUUAUAUUUACAUCUAUGCCCCGCAAAAUUAUCUCCCUCUAUACACAAAUUUGAAUUUCCGUUUGCGCCUUAUAUAAUCCCCAUGUAACAAACAAGAUGCCUCUUUUUUAAUUCAAAAUUAACUCCCCAAGCAACGGAUGACUCGCCAACUUAAGAUAACAGUAUUUAUGAAAGAAUCUGCACUUUUAAAGGGUAUAAACGAAAUUCAAAUUUUAGAGGGCAUAUUUGAGAAUACAUAAUUUUCUAAGAAUCUGUACGUAAAAGACCCAACAAUAAAUUGCUAAAAGCUUGGUUGUAUUGGACAAUUACCUCUCUAACUUCGAGUUUACUUUGACUAACCAUCUUGCAAAUUCCCUCCUGGUACACAAUUCAUCGGCAUUGACAUCAUUUUCAAUGAUCUGAGUACCAUGAAAGUUAAUUCAAAAGUCCAUGCUCAGAACUGCAGUACAACAUUAUUUCUACCAAAUAAGAAAAUUAACUCAAACCUAACUAUGUUUAACAUCACAUGCUAAACAUUGCUUGUUGUUGAUAAUUAAUAAAUUUAAGUGCGAUUUUUCAAUCAUAUAACGUCAAACAGAACAUUAGAUUAGAACGUAAGCUUUUCUAAAGUGGAGCUCUUUAAUCAUUAGGCUUUCUAAAAGCAUUAUAAGCUAGUAAAGUGUGUCAGAGAGGAAGAUAUUUUGGAGAUGUGACAAAGAAAUGAAGACAAAGUAUUACAAACCAUACAAAUAGAAUAUCAAAGAAGGAUAAACAAGACAACCACUUGCGUAGUCUUUAUUAAAGAAAGGAUAAACAAGAUAGCCACUUGCGUAGUCUUUAUUUAGAUAGCCUUCCUUUCCUGCUGACAACUUAAUUUUCCCCCUUUCUUGCCAUUACGGACAGUUCAUUAGUUCACUAGAAAAACCCUAAAACCAUACUAAUCUUACGCUUAUGAAUUGUGAAGAUGAUAUUAAAUGAACCAUUAGAUAACUUACCCUAGACAGGUGCUAAAGAUCUUAGAGAGAAACACUAGAACCACAAAAUUUCUCAGGCCCAAUGAAAAUUAAUAUGCCAUUGACAUAAAAUAAUCAUGUGCAUGCAACUAUACAUUGUUUAAUUGAAACAAAAAUGUCAAAUAAUGUCACUAAAUGAGUGUGUUCUUAUUACAAACCUGUAGUUUCUUCAUAACAGAUAAAGCUUCCAACUGUGCAGAAUCAGGGGAAAAUGGAACAUAGACUCGUUUGCAACCUCCAAAUGCUAACGUGCAAACAUAUAAAACCCCACAAAUAAAAAAAGGUUAGUGGUGCACAAAAAUGCUGAUUAAAAUGGAAAGGCAAAGAGAUAUAUAAAAGAAUUGAGUUACAAUUGCAGCUCAAUUAUUUCAAACUGUCUUUGUUUGGGACCUUGGGCCGGCUUAUACAACAGCUCCUCUACUCUAAAAAGCAUGCUGCAAAGCAUUUAGAAAGUGGCUGAAGCUUUUAUUGUGGCUGGAAUCUACACUAAGCUUCAGGGGCCUGAAAACUUAGCACUACUUAGGGCAUAAACGCUUCUGCCUUUGCAGCAACCAGAAGCAGUUAAAAGAGAUCUUGUGAAACAGCUAUUAGUGUUUCUUCAACAGCCCAUUUGGCAGCCUGAAGAGCUGCAAGAGCUCUAGUACACUCCAUGUAGUGUUCAAACUAAAAUGCAAGCUAAAAACACAAAAGCAUUUGGGAAAUCUACAGUUUCAAAGAAAGAUAAAGAGCAUGCAACUGUUUAGAAAUAGAAAUUGAAAAUUAUCUUUAUAGGAAAAAAAAUUUUAGGUUUUAACUUACUGAACAAAAUAAUUGUACUUGACUUCAUUAAUCACAAAACUUGCUAGCCAACUUACUUAACUCUUAAUCAACUUACAUAAUCGAUAUAAUGAGUAUGAGGUGCACAAAGGCAUAACCACACUUGACCAAUCAUAGUUGAAUAUCAAAAGACAGAUCCUCAAUUAACUGAACGCGAGAAAAGCCUAAUACUCUCAAAAGACAUGGAAUCAGUGAAGAUCACAAUAUACAGUGACAAAUGUAAUAUCCUUUUUUCUUUCUUCAUUUGUUUACACAGUUUUCUUAACAAGUAUGUUAUUUUAAUUCUCAGAUACAAAAAUUUGGAUAACAAAAUCAAUGCAGUGAGACCCCAAAUACUGUGAUACCUUGCCUUGCCCAACACAUAAACUGAUUAGAGUUUUGUAAACAAAAGAAGCUAUAAGUCUAUAACUGUUCAGAAAUAUGUAAAAGUUCGCGCUCAAGUACCAGUGGGAAGAUUAUCAGCAUCAACCUUCACAUCUUGAUUUCCCUUGGAAUCUUGUUUAACUUCCACUUCAGUGUUUCUGAAAUCUUUAUCAGGAUCUCUUGAAGACUCCCCAGGUACAAACUUCUCAUAAAGUGUAUGAAAUGGAGCAGUCAGGCAAAGCUUUAAACCUGGAAAGUUUAUUGCCUGUCAGAUACGCUAUUCCUGUAGCAUGAAAGCAUAACAAAAUAACCCUCCAAGCUGGAUUAGCAAACUCCAUUUACUAAAACAACUACUUUUGCAAGUAAAUCUCAGUAGCAGUGGAACUAGUUCCCUGAAACAUUAUCUGCGAAAUAGAAACAAUAUGCCAACAAAUAAAUGUGACUUUGCCAAACAUUAUAAGAGGACACCAGUUUACAGUGAAGCCAAAGCAGAAAAGUAACCAUCUAUGACAUUUAAGGCAUGGCUAAGUGCUAAAAGUUGCAAAAGAGGCAUAAAAAUGUGCUUCAAUGAUAAAUUAGAGAAAUACAAUUGUUCUUAGUACACAUUCCAAAUAUAGUGACUUAAUGGCCGCUUCAAUAGUUUGAAUGAUCAAGAAAAGAUCAGGUCCUUAGCUACUUCGCAUGCGAUCAAAAUACUAGUAAUGAUGCAUGACGCAUUCAACAAUAAAGUAAAUAAGCUAAAUGCUCAACUAAAUAGAAAAGCAAUAAACUUCAUCAACUAAGUAGGAGUUACAGGUAAAUAAGCUAAAUGCUCAAGUAGGAAACAAAAUCAGUUCCUUCUCCAAGUCAAACCACAUUAUAACAACAGCAUCAAAUCCUAUAUGCUAACCAAAUGCUAAUGCAACCUCAAGAAUCAGGAAAAAAAGAGGAUAAAGUAGCGCAACUAGAACCUUUCGUUGACAUUGAGAAAUAUGUUAGGGCAGCUAACAACACCGCCAUUGGAGCCCCAAUCCCAACAAAAAUUGCUUUCCAUGAUCCUACAACUAAAAAUUAAAGAAUAACGAAGAUAAAGAUUAUUCUUUCUCAACUAAUUAACCAAAAAAUCUGAAGAAAAUUCCAAAAAUUCACCCUUUCUCUCUUGUAAUUCCGGAUUAAUAGUGAACCAACCGCCGAACCCAUCAUCGAUCAAGCUUGCAUCCGCAGGAACCGACCACGAUUCGAGCUUCGUACCCGCAAAACAAAUCCGAGGAGAGAAUCGUCUAUUUGAGGCAUUUGAGAACCCGUAAGGAGCCAAUUGAAGGGCGGAGAAGGCGAAAUCGGAGACGAAACCCUUCGUCGGAAGGCAUGGCGAGUGGAGGCGGAGGGAAGAACCCAUUCGUCGUGCGAAUUGGAAGGGAUUACAGCAACAUUUUGGGCGAAUUGGAUCUAUCUUUCUAGGGUUUAGCGGAGGUUUGGGGCCUGGUGAUUAGGGUUUGGGGGAGAGAGAGAGAGAGAGUGUGUGUGUGUGAGGGUGUUUCGUUGUUGUCGAUGCGUGGGGAGAGAGGUCGUGGCACGUGGGAAAGAGGGGAUGUGCUACACGUGUGAAGGCCCCACGGUGUAAUCGUGGUGUGGUGUCACGGACUCACGGUGUGGCACUGACAAGUCUGACAUGUGUGGCCCACCCAGAUGAUUUUUUUUUUUCUAAAUGCAAGAAAUAUCUGAAUAUAUAUUUUAGGAUUAAUUUAGUACAGUUUCCUACAAAUAUAAUAAUAAAUUGCAAAUAUAUUUAUACUGAAUUAUGUUGCAUCCUUUUGUAUAUUAUUACUGUUACUUCAUAAAUAGUAAUGAUCUUUAAGAUCAGAGGUUCAGUCCUUCUUAUUUUAAACUAAGAUUUUAAGCGUCGUCGACACAGACCGCGUCGAUGGCACAGCUCAAAACCCUUUAUUCUUUAAAAUAAUAAAUAAUUUUCUCAAUAAAAUUUAAAAGAUGUAAUAAAAAAUGGUAAUAAAUAGUUAGAAUAUUUUGUUGCUAAAGAAAAUAAAUAUUUCAUGCUAUUAUGUGACGGCACAAAAAAAUUUUUUUGACCGACACGCAUCGAUACGACUCGACACGCACCGUACCGACAAGUUUCUAGCACGACCCCAUACCAUGGCACUUAAAUUCUUGUUUUAAACUUCUCGGUCAGGGCCUGUGGACAAGAUCCGAAAGAAGGAAAGAAGAUAAAUAAAUAGAUAAAUCAUUCCCAGUCAGUUAAUAAUUCAUAUAUGAAUCAUGUAUAAGAUCAAGCAAUUUAAAUCCCAAAAAUUUCAGAUAAUAAUUACAUGUAGACAAGGUUGAUACUGUUAAAAUGCAUGAAAGGGACCAUAAUACUUUUGCUUCAAGAACUGCAGUUUCAGAAAGCAAAAAAAAUACUUAGCUUCUUGCACUGAGAGCUCUACAAUGAACAGUUGAUUACUUCUCUACUAAUCACAAAAAAUUCGGAUUCUUCGCCUUCAGACAGUAAUCUCUUCUCUCUCAACCAUCCUCUUUCUUUCCGCCUCCUUCCGACUUCUCUCACCGACGGCGUCAGAAAUCGCCUUUGGUAACAAAAAUCCGGGGCGUUCGAGGAACGGAGCUCUGUCGAGAACUAGCGGCUCUCUCUGCGUAACUUCGAUGCCGUCGAAGGUCCAUAGCUUCAAACGGGCGUCGCCCUUUAGGCCCAACGAAUACCAUCCGAGACCGGAAACUGCAAUAUCCGCACAGUUCGCUUCCCAGCUGUUCCCGGAAAGCUUUAUCUCUCUGUCUUUCCAUUCGCCGAGUUCGGCAACCCGCUCCUGGCCAAUAGGUGGCUGGAAAACAUACAACAAAGAUAUGAAUAGUACUUGAUCAUUAACAAAUGAACAUAAAAUGAUGAUAAACUCUGGCCAAAGAGGCAAUUUUGCAGGUAUAUAAGGGUAUAUAAAUGUUGGAAGCUCAGUUCAGGAGCAUCUUUUAUGUCAAUACAUCUCUAUUAGGAUAUAAUUUGCAUGGUAAAAGAGAGAACUUCGGAUCAAAUAAUCUUAAUUCAAAUAGCAGUGAGGGAAUAGAGAUCUCAUCUCACCUGUAAUCUGACGCCAAAAUGCUUAUUCCUUAAGUCGUCGGCAUUCUCCGUCUUCCCCAUAUGAAGAGAAGCAUAAGGAGACGCCCAAACCGUCACGUAAAUCGUUUCCACAGAGGCCUCGAUUAGGUCCAAUCUCAUUAAACCACCCACGUGGACCGUUUGCCCCACCUGCGACAGUGAAAAAGAUGUCUCUCUUGAGUUCAACUCUCAAGUAAAAUAGCACAUAAAUUUUUCUCUGUGCAUAUUUGUGUAAUAACUGGAUUCGUAUUACCAAAUGUUCGAAAUUGAAAUUUAUGCAUUUGUAAGCAUAGGGCUAAUUGCAAGUUUGCGGAGAAAUCUCUCUUUACAACCUUUGCCUACUUUUCCUCCACCCAAAAAAGAAAAAAAAGAAAGAAAAAUAAACGAUGGUUAGAAAAUUUAAAAGAAAUUCAAACCAAAAUAAUUUGUUUCAGUAGGUGCCAAUCAUCUCGAUUUCCGUUAAAAGAGGCCAAACAAUAACAACUAGGCCAGGGCAAUGUUAUUAGGAACUAUUUAGGACAAGCCAAUUUACUUAAUCACCCGUAGAAAACAUUAAGACAUACCAAAAGUUCACUUACACAUCAGAACUUCGACUAUUAAAACGAACAUCGGAAGUACGCUGGCACUCAAAAAAUAUCUUACAGUACUCAAUAUGCAGCCGGAAAAAGGAAGAAAUGGAAAUGCUAUAUGUACGAAACUCCGUUUGUACUUGCGGCACAAAUUAUAAUUCAAGGUACAAAAGAUUGCGUACAUUUGCAAAUUUAUGUAAAGCAGAUAUCAUCUAAGGAAAGCCAUCCUAUGGCUGAUGAAACAUGAGAGAAUACAAACAAACAAAAAGAGGAGAAGACUAACUUUUCCCAAAAAAUAUCGACUUUUUAGGUGGAGAGUGCAGGUUGUAUAUGCCCAUACGAGUUUUUGUGUGAAGGAUUUAAUCGUGCAUGGAAGAGAAGAAUAGGGCAACGACAGUGUAACACUAAAUGACUAAUUUUCUAUCUGAAGAGAGAAAUCUCGAUCAUCUUUCCCAAGGUCCAUCAUCACCUAGGGGCUAUUUCUUUUCCCACAAUUAAUUUUCAGGCUAAAAAUAACUUUCAAUUGAACUAAAGUUCCAGUAAAAGUUAUUUUUCUACCUUUGUUUGUUUGAUAAGAAUUUCCUUGCUUUGGUUCCACUUUCUUAGUUUGUUUUACAAAAAAAUUCCACACUAGCACAUAAAAGGGUGAAAAAACAAGUUGCAGGUGAAUUUCAAACCAAACAGCAGAAGUGGGCAUUUAUGGUCGAAUACAACUUCCCCUCCUCCACUUUUGGUGAAACAAACUGCCUGAUUCCAUCUCACAUUACUAUCGUAUAAUUGAAGUUCAAAUACUCGGUGACAUGUAUUGUUAUCAUAAGAAAUCAAUUUAGAGCUCUAGAACUAAGUAAUCUGCAAAAUAUAUCAAAUAUCUGCUAGGGAUGACACGAAAUUCUCAUCUUUAUGUUCACAAACAGCUAUACUAAUAAACUAGAAAACAUUUCAUCAAGUCACCAUUAAAGAAGAACAACCAGAAACAAAUUCAUAUCAUUCCAAUUUAGUAUUUCAUAUAGAGAUAAAAACGACUCACCUUUACUCUAAAAGUCCGAGGCUGUAAUUCCUUCCUGAUCUCCACCAUCUUCUGCUCCUCUCGACUUAAUCUCAUCGUCAUAAUAUACGGAUGCAAAAGACCUGGCGUAUCAUACAUCUUCGCUUUCGCAGGUAAAACCCCUGUAACCCUCAAAAUACCCAAUGUAGUCCCCGGCACUGCAGCCUCAGUCAAUCUCGUAAUCUUAACGCCUUCUCUCUUCGCAAACGCAUUAAUCAGAGUAGAUUUUCCAGCAUUUUGUGCGCCAACUACCCACACAUUUCCGCGAGGACCUGCCAAUUCCUUUAUAUAAGAAAUCAAAUUCCUAACUCCGAGAUCUUUGCGGGCACUCACCAAAUAAACUGCAUUAAGCUUAGGGGCUCCGUUCGCCUUGGCGCGGUUACGAACCCAUCGAUCCAAUCUUGUUGGAGAGAUCUGUGAGGGUAGAAGAUCAACCUUAGUUGCCACAAGAACAAGUUUCGGCAGUUUAGUUGUCUUAGUGUUCUUGUUGCUUCCCUCCAAUGCCUUAAACAAAGAUUUUGCCGCUCUCUUAGGGAAUGAUCCAUCGAAAUCCACACAAUCAACAACUAAAACUACAACAGGAGAACUAUUCGAAGGUUUCAUCAAUCGGGUCGAUAUGGACCGAUCGAAAUCGAAGUCGGGGAUCAAAUUCUCGGCCUUUUGGUUCUUCACCUGCCCAUAAUUCCUCAGCGAGUGGCACCGCGCACACACUACCGCCGAAUUCUCCAUUUCCAUCCUUUUAGCUUCUUCUUCUCUCAUCUUUCUCUUCUUCUCCGAUUUCGACAUCUUCUCCUUCUUCAUCUUGCUCAGUGUCUCCUCAGUAACAUUUCCAUACCCGACUCCCGCGGGGGCGAAACCAUCCAAUUCCCUCUUCAACCUCUCCUCCUCAUCCUCCUCAUCCAGCCAAUCCGAAUCCCAAUCAUCUUCCUCCUCCAAAUCCUCCACCAAACCCUCACCAAGAUCAAAUUUUGACGACGACCCAUCAACACCCUCAUCCAAUUCAUCCAAAAUCUCUUCGGAAUCGGAGAAAAGGGGGUCCUCGGAACCGUACCCGGUGUCUUCGUCCGGAGAUGGCGACGAGGGUUUCUGGUAGUAUCCGGGGAGGUUGGGGUCGGAUUCUUGCAUGAACACGCCGCAUCCGGGGCAAACGAGGCGCGCCUCGUCCUCGUCCCUCCCUUCGCUGAACAAUCGGGAGGUGCGGAGCGAAGCAUGGAGGAUCGGGGCCGGGGUUCGUGUGGAGGAGAGGGAGAAGGAGAGUAAGCGUUUGUGGAGAAGAAGAGAGAAGGGGAGGAGGAGGGAGGAGGAGAAGAAGGGGGAGAGGAGGGAACGAGGGAUUAGGGUUUUACGGCCAUGAGAGAGGAGGAGGGAGGA
rnacentral:lncRNA from 1 species